AUCUUUGCGUGGUGGCGGUAUCGUAGCUAAUUCGGUUUAUCCGAGGCGCGAUUAUUGCUAGUUAAUAAAUAUUUUUAAAAAAGUGAAAUUUAUCGAUUACAUUUGCAUUAAAACCUAUUGUUCAAAGCUUUUUCACUAAAG
rfam:Ciona intestinalis ciona0015, whole genome shotgun sequence.